GCCUGGGUGGCUCAGCGGUUGAGCCUCUGCCUUUGGCUCAGGGCGUGAUCACGGGUUCAGGAUCGAAUCCUGCAUCAGGCU
rnacentral:tRNA from 1 species